rfam:Pseudoalteromonas porphyrae strain TCD-SED14 scaffold_6, whole genome shotgun sequence.
AAAAUGGCGCUAAUUAGCGCCAUUUUUUGUUUGAAAACUUUAUUAU